GAAGGGGUACAUGGGGGAUAUGGGUUUGGGGAAAGAAAUGAGAUCGGUGAGGCUAUUCAAGAUUUUGCUAUAGCCUACGACCGAGCGAUAGCAAACACUUACUUUAAAAAGCAAGAUGAACAUUUAGUAACCUAUAAAAGUAGAUCACAUAAAAGCCAGAUAGACUUCUUCCUAGUUAAGAAGGUAGAUCGACCAUCUUGUAAAAACUGCAAGGUUAUUUCAGGAGAGAGUUGACUGGCCAAUGCAGGCUCAUGUUAUGGAUGUCUAGAUAAAGACAUGGAAGAAAAGGGGUGAAAGUAAUGGGUAUCUAAGAAAUAGGUGGUGGAAUUUAAAAAAUGAGAAAAUAGACUUAUUUAGGGAUAAAUUAGUUAAAUUAGGAAAAUAGAACUCUAAACAUGAGGUCAUGUUAUAUGGAAUGACAUGGUUGACAGUGAUAAGAAAGUAGCAAAAGAAGUUUUAGGAGGAAAAGAAAUUUCAAUAAGGAAACUUGGUGGUGGAGUGAUGAGGUUUAGAAGGCCAUUGACGAAAAAUGAUCAUGUUAUAAAACUUGGCAGUGUAAUAGAAACGAUCAAAACUUAGAAGAAUAUAAAAAUGCUAAGAAAGAUGCCAAACAAAUAUUAAGUAAGGCUAAACUUCAGGCAAAUGAUAAUCUAUACAAUAAUAUGGAAAUAAGAAAAGUUGAAAAGAUAUCUUCAAAUUAGCGAAAAUGAGAAAGAAAAAUUGUAGGGAUCUAGACCAUAUUAAAUGCAUUAAGAGUGAGGAUCAAAGGGUCUUGGUGAAGGAUGAAGAGGUCAACAAAAGGUGGAGAGCUUAUUCUAAAAAAUUAUUAAAUGACGAACACAAUAAGAAUAUAAGGGUAGAAGGAACCACUGGUAUAAAUGAAAGCAUAGGUCAUAGGUACAUUCGUAGGAUUAAGAUAUUGAAAGUGAAAGAAGCUUUGAAUAGGAUGAAGGUAGGAAAGGCUUUAGGACCAGAUAGUAUCCCGAUAGAGGUUUGGAAGUGCAUGGGGGAGAUUGGCAUUGACUGACUGACAAAGUUGUUCAACGAGAUGUUGAGAACAAAGAAAAUACCAGACGAAUGGAAGGAAAAUAUUGUGAUAUCUAUUUACAAGAAUAAAUGAGAUAUACAGAAUUGUGUGAACUAUUGAGGGAUCAAGCAUAUGAGUCAUACUAUGAAGCUUUAAGAGAGAGUGAUUAAGCAAUAACUAAAGCAUGAAACGAGUGUAUUUGAAAACCAAUUUGGUUUAAGCCAAAGAGGUCAACAACCGAGGCUAUUCUCCUAAUUAGGCAACUGAUUGAGAAGUUUAGAGUGAAAGGAAAAGAUAUCCACAUGGUCUUUAUUGAACUAGAGAAAGCUUAUGAUAGUACCUCGAGAUUUGAUUUGGUGGGUAUUGGAAAAGAAAGGAAUCUCUGGACACUACAUCAACUUGAUGAAAAAUAUAUAUGAUGGAGCACGAACUAGUGUAUGAAUAACUAUAAGAGAGAUGAAUGAGUUUUCAGUGAUAAUAGAUCUACAUUAGUGGUCAGCAUUGAGCCCGUACCUCUUUGUCUUAGUUAUGGAUGAUAUAAUUAGGCACCUAUAAGAUGAGGUAUUGUGGUGUGUAUUGUUUGUAGAUAACAGUUUUGAUCCAUGGGACCCGAAACAGUGUCAAUAUAAAGUUAGAACUUUGGAAGGAUACUCUAGAAUCUAAAAGUUUUGAAAUUAGCCGGACUAAAGCAGAGUAUAUGGAAUUCAAGCUUAGUAAUAAUAGGAGUAGAAACGAGGAAAUAGUUAAGAUUGACAGCUAGGAAGUGUCAAAAAGGGCGUACUUUCGAUAUCUUGGGUCGAUAAUCCAGAAAAAUGGAAAGAUUGAGGAAGAUGUCGUACAAAGAAUUAGAGUUGGGUAGGCGAAGUGGAGAUGUGCAACCGGAAUUUUAUGCGAUUGUCACAUAUCAAUGAAGUUGAAGGGCAAAGUUCUAUAGGACAGCUGUGAGACCAACUUUGCUCUAUGGGGAGAAAUAUUGGGUGGACAAAAAACAAUAUACCCGUAGAAUGAGUGUAGCAGAGAUGAGGAUAUUCAGAUGGAUAGUGGCAAGACAAGAAGGUAUAGAAUUCGAAAAGAAUUCAUGUAGGAAAAUUUGGGGUGGCACCAAUAGGCGAUAAGAUGAGAGAGAGUUAGGUAGGUUGGUCAUGUGUGCCGCAGACCUAAGUACAACACCUGUUAUGAGGCACGGGUAUAGUUCAAGUGGAAGGCUUAAAAGGAUAGGAGGUAUGCCCAAAAAGACAUGGUUGGAAGUAGUCAAAAAAGAUAUGGAGACUUAUGGCCCCACUGAGGAUAUGACCCUUAAUAGAGCAGAAUGACAGACCAGGAUUCGUGUAGCCAACCCCAAUAAAUUGGGAAAAGGCUAUGAUGAUGAUACUUAUAUUGAAAAAAAACUCUACCAUGAGCAAAAAUCUUCUGGUUCAUUUGGUUAUUAGCUUUGUUGGCACAUCUUGCAUAAAGGAAUACACAUUGAACGAGUUCAUUUUGUUUUCUUGUGUAAGUCAAAGAAAGGGCAAAAGUACAUAAAAUCAAUGAUCCAAAGAAUGGAAGUUAGUUCAAGUGACAGGCUUAAAAGGGUAAGGGGUAGGCACAGACCCAGACCCAGUACAACACCUGUUAUGAGGUGCAAGUUAGUUCAAGUGGAAGGCUUAAAAGGGCAAGAGGUAGACCCAAAAGGACAUGGUUGGAAGUAGUAAGAAAAGAUAUUGGGACUUAUGGCCUCACUGAGGGUAUGACCCUUAAUGGAGCAAAAUGACAGACCAGGAUUUAUGUAGCCAACCUCAAUUAAUUGGGAAAAGGCCAUUAUGAUGAUGAUGAUGAUUAUAUUGGA
rnacentral:lncRNA from 1 species